rnacentral:rRNA from 1 species
AGUGAACGCUGGCGGUAUGCCUAACACAUGCAAGUCGAACGGCAGCACAGUAAGAUCUUUCUCUUACUGUUGGCGAGUGGCGGACGGGUAAGGCAUACAUCGGAAUCUUCUUUUUCUUGGGUGAUUUCGUAGGGACGCUUAUGCUACUACCUCAUACUUUGUACGGCUUAAAUCAAGGGAUCUUCGCACCUUUCCCGACUGUAUGAGCCGAUGUCGCAUUAGCUAGUUGGCUAGGUAAAGUCACACCAAGGCAACGAUCCGUAGCUGAUCUGAGAGGAUGAUCAGCCACACUGGAACUGAGACACGGUCCAGACUCCUACGGGAGGCAGCAGUAGGGAAUAUUGGACAAUGGGCGAAAGCCUGAUGGAGCAAUGCCGCGUGAGUGAAGAAGGCCUUCGGAUCGUAAAGCCCUUUUGUUGGGAAAGAAAAGAAGUAGAUUAAUAUGUGGACGUCUUGACGGUACCUAAAGAAUAAGCAACGGCUAACUUCGUG